AUUUAAUAAAAGAAAUAAAAGAUAGAAGAAGAGAAAUGGAAACAGAAUAGGCAAACGAAAACAGGGGAGAAAGGAAAGAAAAAGAAAAAGGGAAGGAAAGAAAGAAAAUUUGGGGUUUCAAGGUUUCAAGCUCAAUUGAGUCAUUGCCGAGAAAGGAAAAGGGAAGGUGAUCAAGGAGUGACUCGAGAAAAUUUACGGUUAGUAUUACUAUAAUUCGAAUUUAAUUAUUAAUUGUUAAAAUUUAAAUUAAUAUACAUAAUAAGAAAAUUGAGGUGAGUAUCAUGAUUGAAUCGAAUGAAAUAUAUAUAUAUAUAUAUAAAUAUAUAUACGUAUUGAUAUUGAAUUUAUUGAUAGUAAUUGUUGAAUUUUGAAUAAUAUGUUUAGUAAAUAAAAAUAAGGAGAAUAUCGAUAUUUAAUUGAAUGAAUUAAAAAUAUGAAUUGAAUAAAAGUGAAUUAAAUUAUGAAUAAGUGUGAAUACGUGAAUUGAGUAUUGACUGAAAAGUGGUUUGAUUCGAAUCGAGGUAUGAUUUGUGAAAUAUGUAUUGGUGCUGAAUUGUAUAUUGAUUUGAAAGUGGGAAGUGAAUUUGAAAUAGAAAAAUGUAUUGAAUCAAAUGGUGAUUAAAUUGUAUAAUGAUUUGAAUUGAAAGUAUGAGAAAGUGAUUGAAUUGAAAUGUGAUUUGAAUUGAAAUGUGAUUCGGAAACCCUAUUAACUAGUCGGGCUGAGUCGAAUAUAGUUGGCAUGCCAUAGGAUUGGAAGUGUUCAGGGAUACUUCGACCUUGAGUCGAUGAGACACUGGGUGUCAUAAUGUUACUUCGGAUAGAUUCGAUGAGGUACUGGGUACCAACUUGCUUCGGCUUUGUCGAUGAGACACUGGGUGUCAACUAUUGCUUCGAACUAUCUGAUGAGGCACUGGGUGCCAUUCUGGUGUGUUUGGUUGGAUCCGUGUAUCCGCCAAGGUCCGAGUCAAGUUAAUAGGGGUAAAUGAAUAAUUUUGAUAAUAUAAAUUUUAUUAAAUGAUCUUGAAUAUGAAUCGAAAUGAGAUAUUAAAUUGAGAUAUGGAAAUGAAAUGUAUGAACCAAGGGUUCAAGAAAUAGUUAGCAAUUUAGUUCAUGAAAUGAUUUUGGUAGUAUGAGAUGUAAAAUAUAAGUAAAGAAAAGCAAAUUGAAAUAGCUAUUGCUGAGAAA